GGCCUAAUGGCCCAAUGGCAAGGCGCUUGACUACGAUUAAUCAAUCCGAAAUCAAGAGAUUCCAGGUUCGACCCCUGGUUAGGUCA
rnacentral:tRNA from 1 species